AUCUAUAGCCAUACCACCCUAAACACACCUGAUCUUGUCUGAUCCCAGAAACUAAGCAGGGUCGAGUCUGGUUAGUGCUUGGAUAGGAGAAGACAGAGAAUAGAAU
ensembl:rRNA 5S_rRNA 5S ribosomal RNA